GAUGAACGCUAGCGAUAGGCCUAACACAUGCAAGUCGAGGGGCAUCACAUGAAGUAGCAAUACGGAUGGUGGCGACCGGCGCACGGGUGAGUAACACGUAUGCAACCUGCCUUCAACAAGGGGAUAACCCGUUGAAAGACGGACUAAUACCCUAUAACACAGGGGUCCCGCAUGGGAAUAUUUGUUAAAGGACAACCGGUUGAAGAUGGGCAUGCGUUCCAUUAGCUAGUUGGCGGGGUAACGGCCCACCAAGGCAACGAUGGAUAGGGGAACUGAGAGGUUUAUCCCCCACACUGGUACUGAGACACGGACCAGACUCCUACGGGAGGCAGCAGUGAGGAAUAUUGGUCAAUGGACGCAAGUCUGAACCAGCCACGUCGCGUGAAGGAAGACGGCCCUACGGGUUGUAAACUUCUUUUAACGGGAAUAAAGUGCCCCACGCGUGGGGUUUUGCAUGUACCGUAUGAAUAGGAUCGGCUA
rnacentral:rRNA from 1 species